rnacentral:rRNA from 1 species
CUACUCUUGACAUCCUCGGAAUCUGCUAGAGAUAGCGGAGUGCCUUCGGGAACCGAGAGACAGGUGCUGCAUGGCUGUCGUCAGCUCGUGUCGUGAGAUGUUGGGUUAAGUCCCGUAACGAGCGCAACCCUUAUCCUUAGUUGCCAUUGGGUAAAGCCAGGAACUCUAAGGAGACUGCCGGUGACAAGCCGGAGGAAGGCGGGGACGAGGUCAAGUCAUCAUGGCCCUUACGAGUAGGGCUACACACGUGCUACAAUGGGCGGUACAAAGGGAAGCGAAGCCGUGAGGCGGAGCGAAUCUCAUUAAAGCCGCUCUUAGUCCGGAUUGGAGUCUGCAACUCGACUCCAUGAAGUUGGAAUCGCUAGUAAUCGCGGAUCAGAACGCCGCGGUGAAUACGUUCU